rnacentral:misc_RNA from 1 species
AUCUAGAAUUUGCUUUUAUCUGUUGAGAUAAUCUUAUCAAGUCUGACAGAGAUGGUUACAUCUAGGCAGAGUGUUUGUGUCUGAUAUGUGAGAACUUGUUGAUGUGAAGAGCUAUAUCUGAUAAUUCAACAAUCAACACAGUCCAAGUGAAACCCCAACCCACUCACCCUCCUCCUGGUGGGGAUUUCCAUUUGAAUAUUUGCACUAGAUUCACACUUUAUCUUUGUUGGCCAAUUAUCUAGUGGAGUUCCUUGGUGUCAAAUUGCCUAUAAUUCAGUUCAUCACAUUUUGAGGAUAAUGAAA